AACGUUGACGCCGGAAAUGCACGACGUCAUUUCCGUUCAUAAUAAAACAUCUGAAAAUAAAAAAUGGCCGCUGAUGAAGACCGUGAGGUCGAAAGCUUCGAAAAAGGUCACUCACCUUUGGCGAACGGUAGGUGACAUUUUGCACUCAGCAAAUUGUCUACAGAAAGCAAGAACCAGCUCUCGACCUUAUUUGCAAAUGCUGAUGCAACUUUCUGGAUUCUACCUGAUUAAAGGUGAAAAGUG